rnacentral:rRNA from 1 species
UGGCUGGCCGUCGGACAGUAUGCUCAACGGUGUCCGGUGUCGCCUCGCGCGUGCACCGGUACCGGUCAGCGACGAAUUCUUCGGGCCUCUUUCCGACCCGUCUUUGAAACACGGACCAAGGAGUCUAACAUGCGCGCGAGUCGCGGGGUGUCGAGCGUACUCCGGUGCGUUCGUUACGUUGCGAAACCCGUACAUGUCGAAGGCGUAAUGAAAGUGAAUGGGGAAGAUGGUGUUCCGAGUACACGUUCCGCGAUCGUCGGUAUCGCGGCCGGACACCCGCAUUCCCGGGGCGUCUCAACGGCCCGUCGCUGACGCGGACAGUCGUCUUUCGGGGCGGCUGUCGGUCGGCGAUGAACCGAGGCGCACCUAUAGCGUGCACGUUGGUACCCGAAAGAUGGUGAACUAUGCCUGGCCAGGAUGAAGUCAGGGGAAACCCUGAUGGAGGUCCGCAGCGAUUCUGACCGUGCAAAUCCGAUCGU